UACCAGCUCUCCGAGUUGUGGGGACGAUUAUUGGGUCUAAAGCAUCCGUAGCCGGCUGGGCAAGUCCUCUGUUAAACCCAGCGACAAAUCGUUGGCUUGCGGGGGAUACUGUUCGGCUAGGGGGCGGGAGAGGCCGUCGGUAUUCUCGGGGUAGGGGUGAAAUCCUAUAAUCCCGGGAGGACCACCAGUGGCGAAGGCUGUCGGCUAGAACGCGCCCGACGGUGAGGGAUGAAAGCUGGGGGAGCGAACCGGAUUAGAUACCCGGGUAGUCCCAGCUGUAAACGAUGCAGGCUAGGUGUUAGGGCGGCUACGGGCCGCUCUAGUGCCGCAGGGAAGCUGUUAAGCCUGCCACCUGGGGAGUACGGCCGCAAGGCUGAAACUUAAAGGAAUUGGCGGGGGAGCACCACAAGGGGUGAAGCUUGCGGUUUAAUUGGAGUCAACGCCGGAAAUCUCACCGGGGGCGACAGCAGGGUGAAGGCCAGAUUGAAGGUCUUGCCAGACGAGCUGAGAGGAGGUGCAUGGCCGUCGCCAGUUCGUGCCGUGAGGUGUCCUGUUAAGUCAGGCAACGAUCGAGACCCGCAUCCCCCGUUGCCACCAGCCUUGAGCUGAGCACACUGGGGAGACCGCCGUCGAGAAGACGGAGGAAGGAGCGGGCCACGGCAGGUCAGUAUGCCCCGAAUCUCCCGGGCCACACGCGAGCUGCAAUGGCAGGUACAAUGGGUUCCGACCUCGAAAGGGGAAGGCAAUCUCUAAAGCCUGCCGUAGUUGGGAUCGAGGGUUGAAACUCACCCUCGUGAACAUGGAAUCCCUAGUAAUCGCGCGUCACUAGCGCGCGGUGAAUACGUCCCUGCUCCU
rnacentral:rRNA from 1 species